rnacentral:rRNA from 1 species
GACGAACGCUGGCGGCGUGCUUAACACAUGCAAGUCGAACGGAAAGGCCCUGCUUUUGUGGGGUGCUCGAGUGGCGAACGGGUGAGUAACACGUGAGUAACCUGACCUUGAUUUUGGGAUAACUUCAGGAAACUGGGGCUAAUAUCGGAUAGGAGCCCCUGCUGCAUGGUGGGGGUUGGAAAGUUUCGGCGGUUGGGGAUGGACUCGCGGCUUAUCAGCUUGGUGGUGGGGUAGUGGCUGACCAAGGCUUUGACGGAUAGCCGGCCUGAGAGGGUGACCGGCCACAAUGGGACUGAGAUACGGCCCAGACUACUACGGGAGGCAGCAGUGGCGAAUAUUGCCCAGUGGGCCGACGCCGGAGACAGCGGCGCCGCGUGCGGGAUGACGGCCUUCGGGUUGUAAACCGCUUUCGCCUGUGACGAAGCGUGAGUGACGGUAAUGGAUAAAGAAGCACCGGCUAACUACGUG